rnacentral:rRNA from 1 species
UACGGGGGGGGUAAGCGUUGUUCGGAAUUACUGGGCGUAAAGGGCUCGUAGGCGGCCAACUAAGUCAUACGUGAAAUCCCUCAGCUUAACUGGGGAACUGCGUGUGAUACUGGAUGGCUUGGAUUCGGGAGAGGGAUGCGGAAUUCCAGGUGUAGCGGUGAAAUGCGUAGAUAUCUGGAGGAACACCGGUGGCGAAGGCGGCAUCCUGGACCAACAUUGACGCUGAGGAGCGAAAGCCAGGGGAGCAAACGGG